GCGCCUUGCCACGCCCGCUCAGAAACUACAAAGGAAUUGACGGGGCCCGCACAAGCGGUGGAGCAUGUGGUUUAAUUCGAUGAUACGCGAGGAACCUUACCUGGGCUCAAAUGUAUGUUGACGUAUUCUGAAAGGGAUACUUCUUCGGACAAUAUACAAGGUGCUGCAUGGUUGUCGUCAGCUCGUGCCGUGAGGUGUCGGGUUAAGUCCCAUAACGAGCGCAACCCUUGCCUUUAGUUGCCAGCAGUUCGGCUGGGCACUCUAAAGGGACUGCCGGUGUUAAACCGGAGGAAGGUGGGGAUGACGUCAAGUCCUCAUGGCCUUUAUGACCAGGGCUACACACGUACUACAAUGGCCGAUACAAAGGGCAGCGACACUGCGAGGUGAAGCCAAUCCCGUAAAAUCGGUCUCAGUCCGGAUUGGAGUCUGCAACUCGACUCCAUGAAGUUGGAAUCGCUAGUAAUCGUGGAUCAGCAUGCCACGGUGAAUACGUUCCCGGGCCUU
rnacentral:rRNA from 1 species